ensembl:ncRNA F39E9.16 ncRNA
GACAACCAUUCCGUAGGCUG